GACGAACGCUGGCGGCGUGCCUAAUACAUGCAAGUAGAACGCUGAAGGAGGAGCUUGCUUCUCUGGAUGAGUUGCGAACGGGUGAGUAACGCGUAGGUAACCUGCCUGGUAGCGGGGGAUAACUAUUGGAAACGAUAGCUAAUACCGCAUAAGAGUAGAUGUUGCAUGACAUUUGCUUAAAAGGUGCAAUUGCAUCACUACCAGAUGGACCUGCGUUGUAUUAGCUAGUUGGUGGGGUAACGGCUCACCAAGGCGACGAUACAUAGCCGACCUGAGAGGGGGAUCGGCCAAACUGGGAAUGAGACACGGCCCAGACUCCUACGGGGGGCAGCAGGAAGGAAUCUUCGGCAAUGGACGGAAGUCUGAACGGGCAACGCCGGGGGGGUGAAGAAGGUUUUCGGAUCGUAAAGCUCUGUUGUAAGAGAAGAACGAGAGGGGGAGUGGAAAGUUCACACUGUGACGGUAUCUUACCAGAAAGGGACGGCUAACUACGUG
rnacentral:rRNA from 1 species